rnacentral:lncRNA from 1 species
CCUUUGGAAAAUACUGAGAUAUGUGGAUCUUCCAAAUGUUGACGCUUUUGAGAGACUGAUUAUAGAAAUGGACAAUGGCCAGACCAUAUGUAGAAAUAAGAUUGACCUACAACUGCAACAGCCAGCCCAGGAAGCCCACCCACUGUCUACACUGACCAGCCCAGGAAGCCCACCCACAGUCUACAGUGACCAGCCCAGGAAGCCCAUCCACUGUCUACAGUGACCAGCCCAGGAAGCCCACCCACUGUCUACAGUGACCAGCCCAGGAAGCCCACCCACAGUCUACAGUGACCAGCCCAGGAAGCCCACCCACUGUCUACAGUGACCAGCCGAGGAAGCCCACCCACUGUCUACAGUGACCAGCCCAGGAAGCCCACCCACUGUCUACAGUGACCAGCCCAGGAAGCCCACCCACUGUCUACAGUGACCAGCCCAGGAAGCCCACCCACAGUAUACAGUGACCAGCCCAGGAAGCCCACCCACAGUAUACAGUGACCAGCCCAGGAAGCCCACCAACUGUCUACAGUGAUCAACCCAGGAAGCCCACCCACUGUCUACAGUGACCAGCCCAGGAAGCCCACCCAUAGUCUACAGUGAUCAGCCCAGGAAGCCCACCCCUGUCUACAGUGACCAGCCCAGGAAGCCCACCCACAGUAUACAGUGACCAGCCCAGGAAGCCCAUCCACUGUCUACAUGAUCAGGCCAGGAAGCCCACCCAUAAUCUACAGUGACCAGCCCAGGAAGCCCACCAACUGUCUACAGUGAUCAACCCAGGAAGCCCACCACUGUGUACAGUGACCAGCCCAGGAAGCCCACCCAUAGUCUACAGUGACCAGCCCAGGAAGCCCACCCACUGUCUACAGUGACCAGCCCAGGUAGCCCACCCAUAGUCUACAGCGACCAGCCCAGGAAGCUGUCUGCCGUAGUCAGAUUGCUGUCUCUGUGACAAUCCAGGAGAAUAAACAAUAAUCUCUGUGACGCUGGGUCCCCAGUGCCCAUGACUUGAUCAAUAACUGACUGCUGUCCUACAUUCUGUUCCCCCUUCCACCUUUGGACCCAUCAGAGAAAGCCAAGGUGCUCCCCUAACCAAUCACGUGGGACCCCUGUUUCUAGUAACCCUGCUCCAGCUUCCCCAGGCUCACCGCCUCCAUCAGGGAACUCCUGAACCUUCCUUUUUUCUCCCAUAAAGCUCUCCACUCCUCUGCCUGCCUCUGAGUCUCUGCCGGUGCUGGUGGCCACCCCCUUGUUACAGCAAACUCUGAACAAGUGGCCUUUCCCUGUCUCAUGGGGGUGGUCUCUAUUCAUCUCCACACUUUCAUUUCAAGCUAUCAAAAAAAUCACAUUUGUUAAUGUUGCUACCUGUCUCACCAAAAAGUCUUUAAAUAUUGUGAUACCGUCAAGCUCACAAUGGUGGAUAAAGUGUUCCAAAAUUCUGAUUUCUACCUGAAAUCUCUAAUCUUCUCAUCUGCAACAUAUGCUAUCAUUUCUUUGCCUUGGAGUGACAUGCAGACAGUACUCACGUCUGAAUACCAUCGUUUGUCAACCUGUUGUUCCAAGUGAAAACUGUGUUCCACUAGUUCAGCUGGUGACUCAAAGGACAGCCCAGUGCUUGUCUUGUGACAGUUGUCAAUCACUUCUGUGUGCAUCAGAAGCCCUUCAUGCUGUACUUAUGGUCAUGCAUCGCACAACGACGGGGACUUGCUCUGAGAAAUUCGUCGUUAAGGGUUUCGUCAUUGCUUGAACAUCAUAGAGUGUACGUGCACAAACCUAGAUGGUAUAACCCACACACCCAGGCUGUAGGGUGCUAAUCUUAUGGGACCACCAUCUUAUGUGCAUCCGUUGUUGACCAAAACGUCAAGUACACACGAUCGAACUUCCAUUUCAUCACACAGAACACUAAAAAGACGUGUACACCAGG